UCGUGUUCUGCGCCAUCUUUGAUAAUGUUUCUACCAAGCUGUGGGCCGUAAAGGAAUCCAGACCGGAAGUUGGUUCGUCCAGGAAAAGUAUGCCUGAGAAGCAGAAAGGGGAAAUAAUGCUAAGUUUUCAAAUCAGACGACGGCAGUUUAAGCUGAGCCACAAACAUCAGCGUCUCCUUAACCGUCAGGUGUGCCAGCAAGCGGUCGUCCUGUCUGACGUACGCCGAGCAGGACCGUACCAUCUGGCGGGUCCACGACACACCAUUAAGGAACAUUUCUCCCUCCACGCUUCCUCCGUCGUUCCUUCCCGCUAGAACGUCCAACAGGCUUGUCUUUCCGCUUCCUGAAAGUACGGAAAUAGAAACAUUGUACUGGAGCACACUGUGGAGCGGAAGUAAUUAACAACAGCUUCCUGUAACAAGCUGCCUAAUUUGAAUAGUACCUGGCGAGACUGAAGUAAAUCAUAGCAUUUCAGGCGGUGUAAUAUCACGUUUUCCAUAUGUAUUGUAUAUUUUUCCACAUGUAGCAAUUUGUAUGGUUCUCCAUAUGUGUUGUAUAAAUGUUCUAUUUAUGUUAUAUAAUUUUUCAUUUGUAUUGUAUAAUUUUCAAUUCAAUAAUUGACUUCUCUGGAGUGAAUACAUGUAAUCUUGGUAAAUCUCUCUUCUUUUGGAUUUUAGCUGAGAAAAUAAUCACAAACUAAAGGUAAAUUGAUACGCCGACCUCUAAUUUCAGUAUAAUGUACACGAUGAAAUCCAGCUUUCUAAGAAAUACAAUUUAAAUGGAAAAUUAUACAACACAAACUGAAAACUAUACCAUACAAAUAAAGAGACUGAAUAUUGCAA